GCUGGCGUAGCUCAACGGGUAGAGCGGUCGACUUGUAAUCGACAGGUUAGCGGUUCGAGUCCGCUCGCCAGCUCCA
rnacentral:tRNA from 1 species